rnacentral:rRNA from 8 species
GGGUGCGAUCAUACCAGCACUAAAGCACCGGAUCCCAUCAGAACUCCGAAGUUAAGCGUGCUUGGGCGAGAGUAGUACUAGGAUGGGUGACCUCCUGGGAAGUCCUCGUGUUGCACCCC